rnacentral:rRNA from 1 species
AUUGAACGCUGGCGGCAUGCCUUACACAUGCAAGUCGAACGGCAGCGCGGGGCAACCUGGCGGCGAGUGGCGAACGGGUGAGUAAUAUAUCGGAACAUACCCUAGAGUGGGGAUAACGUAGCGAAAGUUACGCUAAUACCGCAUACGCACUAAGGUGGAAAGUGGGGGAUUCGCAAGAACCUCAUGCUCAUGGAGUGGCCGAUAUCUGAUUAGCUAGUUGGUGAGGUAAAGGCUCACCAAGGCGACGAUCAGUAGCUGGUUUGAGAGAACGACCAGCCACACUGGAACUGAGACACGGUCCAGACUCCUACGGGAGGCAGCAGUGGGGAAUUUUGGGACAAUGGGGGCAACCCUGAUCCAGCAAUGCCGCGUGAGUGAAGAAGGCCUUGGUUGUAAGACUCUUUGUCUAGGGAAGAAACGGUGAUUCUAAUACAGAUUGCUAAUGACGGUA